rnacentral:rRNA from 1 species
GCUCAACCGGGGAGGGUCAUUGGAAACUGGGAAACUUGAGUGCAGAAGAGGAGAGUGGAAUUCCACGUGUAGCGGUGAAAUGCGUAGAGAUGUGGAGGAACACCAGUGGCGAAGGCGACUCUCUGGUCUGUAACUGACGCUGAGGAGCGAAAGCGUGGGGAGCGAACAGGAUUAGAUACCCUGGUAGUCCACGCCGUAAACGAUGAGUGCUAAGUGUUAGGGGGUUUCCGCCCCUUAGUGCUGCAGCUAACGCAUUAAGCACUCCGCCUGGGGAGUACGGUCGCAAGACUGAAACUCAAAGGAAUUGACGGGGGCCCGCACAAGCGGUGGAGCAUGUGGUUUAAUUCGAAGCAACGCGAAGAACCUUACCAGGUCUUGACAUCCUCUGACAACCCAAGAGAUAGGGCUUUCCCUUCGGGGACAGAGUGACAGGUGGUGCAUGGUUGUCGUCAGCUCGUGUCGUGAGAUGUUGGGUUAAGUCCCGCAACGAGCGCAACCCUUGAUCUUAGUUGCCAGCAUUCAGUUGGGCACUCUAAGGUGACUGCCGGUGACAAACCGGAGGAAGGUGGGGAUGACGUCAAAUCAUCAUGCCCCUUAUGACCUGCGCUACACACGUGCUACAAUGGACAGAACAAAG